GGCACCGGAAUUUUGAACUCAAACACGAACUUCAAGCAAAUUCCAUCUUCAUAGAAAUGGAAGGAGCUAUUGCUGACCGAACCAAAAAUUGGAAACCUCAAACGGAACCCGCCCACUUCGCCGAACCUUGCUUUCACUCGAUGGACUGAAGCGAUGGAAAUAGAGGAUAGUUCACGGUGAUUUCAAGCUGAUAUCGAGAAUUAUUUUAGCUAGUUUUUGGAUCUAUUUUUGUUGGGUUUUAGGAGAGGAUGAGGGCUGUUUGAAGGAUGGAAUUGAGCAGAUUUUCAGCUACUAUUUUGGGUCCUUUUGGGGGCUAUUUUCAGGUGGUAUUUGUUGGUAUUUACCACUCGUUGAAGUGAGAUUAUCGGGGCUGGUCUUCAAUGGUUGAAACAGGGGUUGAGAGUGGAGUUUGGCGGGUGCAUUUCAGGUGAUGAAGAUGGAGGUUUUUAGGUAGUGACCGGAAGUAAAGUUUACUGGAGGAGAGAUGAUGGCUUUUUAUGGCUAAAACCCAGGUGAAGAAGGAGGAGCUGCUGGAAAAAAAAAAAUAGGAAAUUGAGAGUAGCCCCCC
rnacentral:lncRNA from 1 species